UACGAAGGGGGCUAGCGUUGCUCGGAAUCACUGGGCGUAAAGCGCACGUAGGCGGACUUUUAAGUCGGAGGUGAAAUCCUGGAGCUCAACUCCAGAACUGCCUUCGAUACUGAGAGUCUUCGAGUUCGGGAGAGGUGAGUGGAACUGCGAGUGUAGAGGUGAAAUUCGUAGAUAUUCGGAAGAACACCAGUGGCGAAGGCGACUUACUGGACGAUUGUUGACGCUGAGGUGCGAAAGCGUGGGGAGCAAACAGG
rnacentral:rRNA from 1 species